rnacentral:rRNA from 1 species
GAUGAACGCUGGCGGCGUGCUUAAUACAUGCAAGUCGAGCGAACAAACGCGGCUCUUCCUCCUCAGACGUUACCAACGGGCGGGUGAGUCACGCGUAACUUACCUACAUCUAUGACUGGGGUAACUUCGGGAAACCGUAGCUCAUACCGGAUAAUAUCUUGAACCGCAUGGUUCUAUAAUGAUAUACGGUUUUGCUAUGAAUUAUCGAUGGAUCCGCGCCGCAUUAGCUAGUUGGUAAGGUAACGGCUUACCGAGGAGACGGUGGGUAGCCGACCUGAGAGGGUGAUCGGCCACACUGGAACGGAACCACGGUCCCGACUCCUACGGGACGCAGCAGUAGGGAAUCGGCCGCAGUAGGCGGGAGCCUUGCGGAGCGACGCCACGUGAGUGAUGGAGGCCUUCGGAGCGUAAAACUCUGUUUUUAGUUGUAAACAUAUGUGUGUGUAGCAGAGCACAUCGUGACGGUACCUAAACAAAAAGCCACGGCUAACUACGUG